rnacentral:rRNA from 1 species
UACAGAGGUCCCAAGCGUUGUUCGGAUUCACUGGGCGUAAAGGGUGCGUAGGCGGUCGGGUAAGUCUGAUGUGAAAUCUCACAGCUUAACUGUGAAACUGCAUUGGAUACUAUCCGGCUAGAGGAAUGGAGGGGAGACUGGAAUACUUGGUGUAGCAGUGAAAUGCGUAGAUAUCAAGUGGAACACCAGUGGCGAAGGCGAGUCUCUGGACAUUUCCUGACGCUGAGGCACGAAAGCCAGGGGAGCGAACAGG